UCCGUAGGUGAACCUGCGGAGGGGAUCAUUA
rnacentral:rRNA from 1 species